UACGUAGGGUCCGAGCGUUGUCCGGAAUUAUUGGGCGUAAAGGGCUCGUAGGCGGUUUUGUCGCGUCGGGAGUGAAAAAGCUGGGGGCUUAACCCCCAGUCCUGCUUUCGAUACGGGUGGACUAGAGGUAGGCAGGGGAGAAUGGAAUUCCCCGGUGUAGCAGUGAAAAUGCGCAGAUAUCGAAGGAAGACACCCAUGGCGAAGGCGUCUC
rnacentral:rRNA from 1 species